rnacentral:rRNA from 1 species
GUCCACGCCGUAAACGAUGUCGACUAGCCGUUGGAGACCUUAGAGUCUUUAGUGGCGAAGCUAACGCGAUAAGUCGACCGCCUGGGGAGUACGGCCGCAAGGUUAAAACUCAAAUGAAUUGACGGGGGCCCGCACAAGCGGUGGAGCAUGUGGUUUAAUUCGAUGCAACGCGAAGAACCUUACCAGGUCUUGACAUCCAGAGAACUUUCCAGAGAUGGAUUGGUGCCGCAAGGAGCUCUGAGACAGGUGCUGCAUGGCUGUCGU